rnacentral:rRNA from 1 species
AAAAGUGGAUUAGCGGCGGACGGGUGAGUAACACGUGAGUAACCUGCCUUAGACAUUGGGAUAGCCUCGGGAAACCGGGAUUAAUACCAAAUAAAAUCAUAAUGACACAUGUCAUAACGAUCAAAACUCCGGUGGUCUAAGAUGGACUCGCGUCCCAUUAGCUAGUUGGUAGAGUAAAAGCCUACCAAGGCGACGAUGGGUAGCCGGCCUGAGAGGGUGAACGGCCACAUUGGAACUGAGAAACGGUCCAA